rnacentral:lncRNA from 1 species
ACGAAUUUCUCUACAUUAAGUAGUUAAAUAAAAAAUUUUAUUACUUUGCAAUCGGUUUAGUAAAAAAGUAGACAUAACUAAAAUGAAUUAUCUUCGUUCUGACAAUAAAGCAAAAUAAAAUUUAAUUUAACUACAAUUUAUUUCAAAUAGAAAUAUUUAUUUAAUUGAAAUGAAUAAUAUUUUUAAACUAAAAUCAAUUGAAUUUUAUUAAAUUUUUAGUCUAGAUAGAAUUUAAUUAAAUUUGAAAUAUAAUAGAGGGUAUUUAUAAAAUAGAAUUAGUAAUUGACCCUUGAAUAAUUAAGAGGGGUAAAAUUGGAAUAUAAAUAUUUUAUUAACUUUAAUAUGGAUGGAUAUUUGAUAG